ACUGUUUUUGACUUCUUUUUUACUAAAUUUAUUUAUUUCUUCUUUUCUGAUCAAUUCAAAUCUUUCCUUAUUGAGUCAAACAACUUGAAUUCAAUCCUCUUCCACCUUCACUCCGUAUCAGCCAGCUUGAAUAAUCGAGCAUCUGGUCUCUCCAUUCCCACUGACGAUGGCAUCUUGACGAUUUCUCCCAUCUCGCUCCUUCAAAUUUGACCACCUCAGAGUCCCAAAGAUAAUCAUUCCUCCGACGUAAAAAAACCUAAUUCAAACCCUACCUUGCAUGACCCUUCGAUCCUUUUCUACCUCUACUUCCACCGUUCUUGGAGCUUCCUCUAUCCAAAACCGAAGAUCCCCGUAUCUCCUUCCCUUCUCUGCUAGUGAGUGCGCUUCACGAUUCCGUUGACAAGGUACGAAUCUAAACUCCAUUGACUCAAAUUUGUCAAGCCUAAAUUUAAUCUCCUUCACCAGAAUACUAAUGGUCGAUUUGUCUUCCUCAAGAGCCCUUAGUUUCUCUAUAACAACCAAGGCAUCCCCCUUGACCACUACCUCUUGAAACCCUAACUCCUCCAUAAAAAUUACAGCUCUAAGACACGCCCUUGCCUUUACUCUUGUUAAAAUUGUGGUAAUACAGAUUCCAAACUCUUCAACUCGUGGAUGUAUGUCUUUACAAACACUACUAUCCCUUUCACAAUUCGGUUAACUCCUUCAUGGUAGAUACUGUUUCGAUUAUGGCAAACCAUAGUGCCCAAAAAGUGACCACCCAAACUAUGCAUGUCUCCAACAUACUGUUUGUGAAUUCUUUAGCUAACCAAUGUUUCCAAUUGUUUUCAUUGUUGGAGGAAAAUGGCACCUUCAAUUCUUGCAGAACUUGGAUUGUGACUGGACACUCUCGAAACAAAUGCUCAACUGAAUCCUUAGCUCCACGAAAAACAGGGCAGCAACUCACCACUGCCACUCUCCAAAUCACAAGAUUACUUAGAGUAGGCAAAAAAUUAUUAGCAAUUUUCCAGCAUGUAAUAUUAAUUUUACUAGCAACAUUAAGGCUCCGUUUGUUUACCUGUAAAAACUUUUUCGUAAAAGCUUUUCAGCCUUUUCCUAUGUUUGUUUGGUUGAAAAUGAUUUUCCUCUGUAAAACAUUUUACAAAACACGAGAAAAUGAGGUCUUUUUGGGGAAAAUGUCUUCCCCUUUUUAUUUCGGUAAGACAUUUUCCGAAGUUUUUCCUCUUCAUAUCCCAGCAUCAGAACUUUCUAAACGCUCUCUCAUUCUCCUUCCCCUUCCCUUCAUUGCGUCCCCGACCCAAGAUUCAUCUCUAUAUCAAAAACAACCAAUAGUAGUUUCGUUGACAAAAAGAAAAAAGCCCUAGCCAUUUUUAGUCUUUUCAGAAAUGAAACUCUCAAUAAAUUGGUGAUUUUUUCUCUUCAAUUUUUUCAUCUAUUUCCCUUCAGCAAUUUUCCACUUCAAGCGAAAUCAGUCUAUUCAAGUUCGAAACUCAAUUGUCAAAAUAGACGGUGAGACAAUUAACUAUGGGAAAUAAUGAGAAAUUGAUAACCGUUUUGGAAUUAUAUGAUUUGUUUGCUUGCUUCUUAGUAAAAUGUAAUAACAUUUUUGUUUUCAUAUUUUCGUUUUUCCCUCUGGUUGUUCCCCAAUAAUAAUUGAAAAGAAACCUUUUUGAAUUGAUAUAAGAUUAAAGUAGGUAGUUUUAAUUAAUUCCUGCACUUCAAUAGAUCUAUUAAGUUGGCAAUUUGGUUUGUUUGUAUAUUUUUUAAAUGAAUUUUAUUUUUUGUGAUGGGAUCUUGAUCAGGUUCAAUUUGUGAUGGAGUUAAUGAUUUUGUGUUUGAAUUGGGCCUUUUAAUGUGUUUGAUUUUAUGGGCAUUUGAUUUUGAACCACUUCUCUUUACUAGAUUGUCUGUUUUAUACUACAAUGCUGGAAUGGAUGUUAGCAAAGAUGGAUGAUUUGUGGCCACCCUUAAUUUUUUAAAAUGGAUGAAAUGGCUAAUUCUUUGUUUGGUAAGAUUACUUAUUUUUAUCCUCUCCUUUGCGUUUCUUGAUUCAUGAUGAAUAGUGUUGUAUGCGUUGCCUGAUUGUAUUUUGUUGAUCUCCCAUGUAUGAGAAAUAGACAUGGAGGAGUUAAUUCUUUAUGUGCUCCUCCAUGCACAAAAAAUAAGGAAGGGGAAACACUUAUGGAAUGCUUUUAAAUCUGUUAGGACAAAAGAAAAUUCAAAUAGGUUAAAAGGUUAAGAUCAUGGUUUGAUUUUAUAAGACAGAUACUGAUUUCACUUUGAGUUUGAGGUCUUCGGCUUUAUCAGAUUCCAACUCUAAUAUUUGGUCUUCAGUCAACAGAAUCAAGAAAUGGUUAAAAGGUUAAUCCUAUUGUUUGCUUUUAGAAUGAUCGAGUGUAUGGAAAGAAUGACAUGAAUGGGAUUUUUGGUCUCUUUUGGUGUUGCCUAGGUAUGGAGUGUAUUGAUGUGAAGAGAAUAUCAUGUUGCAGUGCAUAGAAGGAUUGAAGUAUUUAUUUACUUCAGUGCUGUAAUGAUGUGAUAAUGAUUUGUACAAGCAAUCAAGAGGUCUUGUCGAUCCUGAACUUCUUGCAAGAUAGACCGUUCUUAGUGUAAGUGAAAUAGAAGCACUUUAUGAGCUUUUCAAGAAGAUAAGCAAUGAUGUUAUAGAUGAUGGGCUGAUCAACAAGGUCUUUGUUUUUUCAUAGUUCCCAUUUUGUUAUAUAAUUGAUAUCUUUAGUUAUGUUUGUCAAGUUUUUUGGCUUGAUGAUCACUCCUCAUCUUGAGUUGGUUCUUUCCCUCUCAUCUUUGUAGAAUUUUUAUAUUACUAUUUGACAGGAGGAGUUCCAAUUGGCGUCAUUCAAAACAAACAAAAAUGAGAGUUUAUUUGCUGAUCGGGUUUCGAAGAGUUUGCUCGUGCUCUCUCUGUCUUCCAUCCAAAUGCGCCCACUGACGAUAAGAAUGAUUGUAUGUGUUAAAUAUUUUAGUUAUUUGUAUACUGUCUCUCUGGUUACGUCUCUUGUUGUAAGCCAUAAUCAUGUUAACAUAGUAGCUGGAUGUAAAUGACUGGUAUGGAAAUGGAAUUAUGGACUUUUGUGCAUAAA